GGAGUUAACGUGACUGGCGCAGACGCUGUUGGUAGCUGCUGGGCCAUUAAAUGUAAUUGUGCCAGAAUAUCAGGAAUCCAUCCAUCCAUCCAUCCAUCCAGCUGGCAUUUGAGAAUGACCUUAGUAGAAAAUUCAAAGAAGAAUGGAAGGAGAUACUGCUGAGGAGGUUCCACUCAUCGAACAGAAGACUGCAGCUUUAUUGAGUAGGGUGAAAUAUUUUCCCAUGCUUUUAAGGGCUAGAUAAUUGGUCGUAGUUAGUUGGUUAUUUCAUCAUGUAUUGUUAUUGUUUGUGUCACGCCAAAACGUUCAAUUUUGAUCUCAUCUGACAAUAGCACUCCCUUCCAGUUUAAUUCCAAUGAGGUUUGGAAACCUCCGGAUUCUUGGUUUUGUUUAUUGUUCUCAGUAAGGGCUGUCUUCGUGCCACCCUUCCAAAGAGUUAGUUGGUAUGGAGGUGACAUUUUAUGUUUUUUUUAGACUUGUUGACCGCAAGAAACAAACCAAUCUCUGCAAUUCUUAAACAGUGAUCCUUGGGUUAUUAAUGGCCUCCCUCACCAUCUUCCUCACCAUCCGUGAGGACAACAUGCACUUGCUUCCUCUUCCUGGCAAAUUUGCAACCAUUCCAUGUUUUACACCUUUUUAUUAUUCCCCUUAGAGUGCUGAGUGGUAUGUUUAACCAUUUAUGUCUUUUUUUUGUACCCAUUACCAGACUUGCGAUGGUAAAUUACCAUCAGACUCUUCUGAAUUGACAGUUAUUUGGCUUUUCAAAUGCUGAUGGAUGACAAAGGGAUUUUGUAUGAUUGUUACCUACUUUUUAAUCUCUAGUGAAACUGGAGUGUGUGGAAUGACACACUAUAGUUCCUUUAGACUGAGAUGAACUAAAUUAAGUAAAAUUGUAUUGCCAA